rnacentral:tRNA from 1 species
GCGGUGUUAGCUCAGCCGGAUAGAGCACCCGAUUCCGAAUCGGGAGGUCCGAGGUUCGACCCCUCGACUCCGCA